GAUGAACGCUGGCGGCGUGCCUAAUACAUGCGAGUCGAGCGAACGGACGAGAAGCUUGCUUCUCUGAUGUUAGCGGCGGACGGGUGAGUAACACGUGGAUAACCUACCUAUAAGACUGGGAUAACUUCGGGAAACCGUAGCUAAUACCGGAUAAUAUUUUGAACCGCAUGGUUCAAAAGUGAAAGACGGUCUUGCUGUCACUUAUAGAUGGAUCCGCGCUGCAUUAGCUAGUUGGUAAGGUAACGGCUUACCAAGGCAACGAUGCAUAGCCGACCUGAGAGGGUGAUCGGCCACACUGGAACUGAGACACGGUCCAGACUCCUACGGGAGGCAGCAGUAGGGAAUCUUCCGCAAUGGGCGAAAGCCUGACGGAGCAACGCCGCGUGAGUGAUGAAGGUCUUCGGAUCGUAAAACUCUGUUAUUAGGGAAGAGCAUAUGUGUAAGUAACUGUGCACAUCUUGACGGUACCUAAUCAGAAAGCCACGGCUAACUACGUG
rnacentral:rRNA from 1 species